rnacentral:rRNA from 1 species
UGGGGAAUAUUGGACAAUGGGGGAAACCCUGAUCCAGCAAUGCCGCGUGAGUGAAGAAGGCCUUAGGGUUGUAAAGCUCUUUCGCCCGCGAAGAUAAUGACGGUAGCGGGAGAAGAAGCCCCGGCUAACUCCGUGCCAGCAGCCGCGGUAAUACGGAGGGGGCUAGCGUUGUUCGGAAUUACUGGGCGUAAAGCGUACGUAGGCGGAUGCGCAAGUUGGGGGUGAAAUCCCGGGGCUUAACCUCGGAAUUGCCCUCAAAACUGCACGUCUUGAGACCGAGAGAGGUAAGGGGAAUUCCUAGUGUAGAGGUGAAAUUCGUAGAUAUUAGGAAGAACACCAGUGGCGAAGGCGCCUUACUGGCUCGGUACUGACACUGAGGUACGAAAGCGUGGGGAGCAAACA